rnacentral:lncRNA from 1 species
AUUUACUUCCACGAAUAGACUGUUAGGCUAAGAAGAAUAGGUUGAGAUUGAUCCCACCUUUGAAAGAGUGGUUUUGUUCUGUCAAUACAGCUUAUCGAGUUAUCAAGCUGAACUGCCUUCUGUAAGGAGCUUGAAUCGUUCGUUUACUCUAAGUCUUAUUACCGACGCGAUGGAUUGCUAUUUGAAAACACUUUCAAUACAAAAAGAGCUCCUUCCGGCUAUACCUCUAGUUGGACAGUCUUAGUUCAGUUUGAGAAGUCAAGGAGGGCGAAUAGAAGAUACUCAGCUCCACACAACACAGGGAUUAGCACACUUUCGGGAAGAACAUAGAAGGGCUUUGUUCACCUUUGGACACGAACACUAUUCCAUUCUUAUUUGAAUUGAAAUGAGUUUCUCAGUUAGUGAGUCUUCCGUUCUCAAACCUACGUAUCUUUCUGUUGAUUCAGUAGAUCUGGCCGGUUGAACGCUUUCUAGCAGCACCAAAAGCUUAGGAGAUUAGAUACGUAGUGAAGCGAAAGUAGCCAUCUUUAUAUCUGGUUUAUUGACUGGUACGCCUUAUAUACCGCUUUUGGGCAACCUUCUCAACAACUAAGAGAUCCGUGGGGACUAGUUGAAGUAAUAAGCCUCCCACACUUAUUUGACUUGAAAUGAGUUUCUCAGUUAGUGAGUCUUCCUUUCUCAAACCUACGUAUCUUUCUGUUGAUUCAGUAGAUCUGGCCGGUUGAACGCUUUCUAGCAGCACCAAAAGCUUAGGAGAUUAGAUACGUAGUGAAGCGAAAGUAGCCAUCUUUAUAUCUGGUUUAUUGACUGGUACGCCUUAUAUACCGCUUUUG